GACCGCGUAGCUCAGUUGGCAGAGCAUUGGGCUAGUGCCAAAGGUCGUAGGUUCGAUUCCCACCGUGGCCA
rnacentral:tRNA from 1 species